rnacentral:rRNA from 1 species
GGAGAGGGCUAGCGUUAUUCGGAAUUAUUGGGCGUAAAGGGCGCGUAGGCGGAUUAGUAAGUUAAAAGUGAAAUCCCAAGGCUCAAACUUGGAAUUGCUUUUAAAACUGCUAAUCUAGAGAUUGAAAGAGGAUAGAGGAAUUCCUAGUGUAGAGGUGAAAUUCGUAAAUAUUAGGAGGAACACCAGUGGCGAAGGCGUCUAUCUGGUUCAAAUCUGACGCUGAGGCGCGAAGGCGUGGGGAGCAAACAGGAUUAGAUACCCUGGUAGUCCACGCUGUAAACGAUGAAUGUUAAAUAUGGGGAGUUUACUUUCUGUAUUACAGCUAACGCGUUAAACAUUCCGCCUGGGGACUACGGUCGCAAGAUUAAAACUCAAAGGAAUUGACGGGGACCCGCACAAGCGGUGGAGCAUGUGGUUUAAUUCGAUGCAACGCGAAAAACCUUACCACUCCUUGACAUGGAAAUUAUACCUAUUCGAAGGGAUAGGGUCGGUUCGGCCGGGUUUCACACAGGUGU